UGCGUAGGCGGAUUAAUAAGUCAGUGGUGAAAACCUGCAGCUUAACUGUAGAACUGCCAUUGAUACUGUUAGUCUUGAGUACGGUCAAGGUAGGCGGAAUGUGUAAUGUAGCGGUGAAAUGCUUAGAUAUUACACAGAACACCGAUUGCGAAGGCAGCUUACUGGACCAUUACUGACGCUGAGGCACGAAAGCGUGGGGAGCGAACAGGAUUAGAUACCCUGGUAGUCU
rnacentral:rRNA from 1 species